CUUUAACCCACAACUUGGGCUCAAAGACCUCUAUUGACAUGGCCAAAGCUUUCUCAGAACUUUGCUGCAAUCUGAGGCUCUCUGCACCCCAUCUUCCUUCCUUCCCUCUCUCUUUCACAGCCUAUAGCACCACCCCUUCCAGUCCUACAGCAACAACAUCUGGCCAGUUCUAAUCUCAGCUUCCCCGUGAAGCCUCUUUAGGUUGCUCCCGCCUUCACAGCUGUCUUCCAAAGCCCAUGUGUAUUUCACACUUACGGCACAUCUCAGUGUGGACGGGCCCCAUUUCAAGCGCUCAGUAGUUACCACGUGACGCAUGGUAACAUACGGAACAGUGCAUCGUCUGUCACCUGCACCGAUGACCCUGUAUGUUAGUUGGUCUCCCAUUGUACAUCAUGCCUCUCUCCUGCUGCCUCCACAGAUCUUCUCCUCUUGUCAGCCAGGGAGAAUCUUUGAAAACGCAAGCAAGAUCAUGUUCAUUCCCUGCUCAAACCCUCCAAUGACUUGGAUCACAUUUAGAAUAAAGCCCAAAUACUUCAUCGCUGCUUACAAAGCCCUUCACCCUCGGACCUCCCUUCCCCUCACCCCCCAGACCUUAUCUCUGACCGCAGACCCCUUCUUCACUCCUUUGCCUCCCCCUGGCCUCCUGGCUGUUCCUCAAACAUAGCAAGCAUCCCCUCCCACCAAG
rnacentral:lncRNA from 1 species